AUUGAACGCUGGCGGCAGGCCUAACACAUGCAAGUCGAGCGGAUGAAGGGAGCUUGCUCCUGGAUUCAGCGGCGGACGGGUGAGUAAUGCCUAGGAAUCUGCCUGGUAGUGGGGGAUAACGUCCGGAAACGGGCGCUAAUACCGCAUACGGCCUGAGGGAGCAAGUGGGGGAUCUUCGGACCUCACGCUAUCAGAUGAGCCUAGGUCGGAUUAGCUAGUUGGUGGGGUAAAGGCCUACCAAGGCGACGAUCCGUAACUGGUCUGAGAGGAUGAUCAGUCACACUGGAACUGAGACACGGUCCAGACUCCUACGGGAGGCAGCAGUGGGGAAUAUUGGACGAUGGGCGAAAGCCUGAUCCAGCCAUGCCGCGUGUGUGAAGAAGGUCUUCGGAUUGUAAAGCACUUUAAGUUGGGAGGAAGGGCAGUAAGUUAAUACCUUGCUGUUUUGACGUUACCAACAGAAUAAGCACCGGCUAACUUCGUG
rnacentral:rRNA from 1 species